rnacentral:rRNA from 1 species
UGGGGAAUAUUGGGCAAUGGGGGAAACCCUGACCCAGCAACGCCGCGUGAAGGAAGAAGGCCUUCGGGUUGUAAACUUCUUUACCAGGGACGAAGGACGUGACGGUACCUGGAGAAAAAGCAACGGCUAACUACGUGCC